AGGAUGAACGCUGGCGGCGUGCUUAACACAUGCAAGUCGAACGAUGAAGCCGGGAGCUUGCUCCUGGUGGAUUAGUGGCGAACGGGUGAGUAACACGUGAGUAACCUGCCCCAGACUCUGGGAUAAGCACUGGAAACGGUGUCUAAUACCGGAUACGAGCUUCAGCCGCAUGGCUAGGAGCUGGAAGGAAUUUCGGUCUGGGAUGGACUCGCGGCCUAUCAGGUAGUUGGUGAGGUAACGGCUCACCAAGCCGACGACGGGUA
rnacentral:rRNA from 1 species